rnacentral:tmRNA from 1 species
GGGGCUGACAAAGCUUAGACGGUUUAUUAACAGAUAUCAAGCACGACGAUUGAUACCGUAAGUAUUGAAUAAAUGAAGAAAAAACUUCAAAGCAUGUGCUUUAUGCACCUGCAUAUGCCUAAUCUAUUGAAAUUAUAGGCUGGUCUAGGGGUCGAGUUUCCAUAGAACUCUAGAUUAUCAUAAACUUAUGGGAAUGGAAUUUGCCCUCUGACAGGGGUGAAUUCGAGAUCUUGUCAUGGCGUCUUUAAGGUUUCGUUUCCUGCAGUCUUAUAGAUAAGCCAAGAAUAAAAACAGGGAACUAUGCGUGUAGAAUGGUAUUCUGAAGAUUUAUCGGACCCGGAGGCAGUAUCCGGCAGCUCCACCA